rnacentral:rRNA from 1 species
UACGUAGGGGGCAAGCGUUGUCCGGAAUCAUUGGGCGUAAAGAGCGUGUAGGCGGCUUGGUAAGUCCGCUGUGAAAGUCCAGGGCUCAACCCUGGAAUGCCGGUGGAAACUGUCGAGCUAGAGUCCGGAAGAGGUGAGUGGAAUUCCUGGUGUAGCGGUGAAAUGCGCAGAUAUCAGGAGGAACACCAAUGGCGAAGGCAGCUCACUGGGACGGUACUGACGCUGAGACGCGAAAGCGUGGGGAGCAAACAGG